rnacentral:rRNA from 1 species
GAUGAACGCUGGCGGCGUGCCUAAUACAUGCAAGUCGAGCGAACGGACGAGAAGCUUGCUUCUCUGAUGUUAGCGGCGGACGGGUGAGUAACACGUGGAUAACCUACCUAUAAGACUGGGAUAACUUCGGGAAACCGGAGCUAAUACCGGAUGAUAUUUUGAACCGCAUGGUUCAAAAGUGAAAGACGGUCUUGCCGUCACUUAUAGAUGGAUCCGCGCUGCAUUAGCUAGUUGGUAAGGUAACGGCUUACCAAGGCAACGAUGCAUAGCCGACCUGAGAGGGUGGUCGGCCACACUGGAACUGAGACACGGUCCAGACUCCUACGGGAGGCAGCAGUAGGGAAUCUUCCGCAAUGGGCGAAAGCCUGACGGAGCAACGCCGCGUGAGUGAUGAAGGUCUUCGGAUCGUAAAACUCUGUUAUUAGGGAAGAACAUAUGUGUAAGUAACUGUGCACAUCUUGACGGUACCUAAUCAGAAAGCCACGGCUAACUACGUG